AGUGAACGCUGGCGGUAGGCCUAACACAUGCAAGUCGAACGGCAGCACAGUAAGAGCUUGCUCUUACGGGUGGCGAGUGGCGGACGGGUGAGGAAUACAUCGGAAUCUACUUUUUCGUGGGGGAUAAGGUAGGGAAACUUACGCUAAUACCGAAUACGACCUACGGGUGAAAGCAGGGGAUCUUCGGACCUUGCGCGAUUGAAUGAGCCGAUGUCGGAUUAGCUAGUUGGCGGGGUAAAGGCCCACCAAGGCGACGAUCCGUAGCUGGUCUGAGAGGAUGAUCAGCCACACUGGAACUGAGACACGGUCCAGACUCCUACGGGAGGCAGCAGUGGGGAAUAUUGGACAAUGGGCGCAAGCCUGAUCCAGCCAUACCGCGUGGGUGAAGAAGGCCUUCGGGUUGUAUAGCCCUUUUGUUGGGAAAGAAAAGCAGCAGGUUAAUACCCCGCUGUUCUGACGGUACCCAAAGAAUAAGCACCGGCUAACUUCGUG
rnacentral:rRNA from 1 species